rnacentral:lncRNA from 1 species
UGGGCAGACACUUGACAGCCGGGCAUUCUUACAAAUAAAACUUUAUUCAUUUUUCCUUGAGCACAACAUAUGAUUGCAUGAUUUGACACCAUGAAAUGCAAGAGAGAGGGUUAAUGGCGCGCGUGUUUGACAUGUUGCCUGUCGACCCAAGAAAAUAUUGACAUCGUGAAUCUUCACAAUUAAUUUGAGUAUCCAACGAAAUAUACUUAAUUUCACGAAGC